GCAGACAGCCCGGCGAACCGCGCAAUGCGCUUCUUCUGCCUGCAGCAGAGAAAAGGAAAGAAAACUCCGCAGGGGCUCCGUUGGCUUCUCCACGAGUGACAACCAUGUUUUCCCAGAUAGAAGACCGGAGCCCUGCUCCUUUGCGAUCCGCCGAGGGCUGCAGAGAGCAUCCUCAUCCAUUUGGGCACCCCUGCCCAGGAAGAGCCCGGCCAUCCCUUUCCGGACUGGAUCCUUAAGAGGUGAAUUUUCUUCCGUGGAUUCCGAUUUGCUCCGUCUGACCAGCCUAGGCAAUCCAGCAUCGCGUGGUACCAGUGCCGCUGGGCACACUGGCUUCACGCCGGCUCCGCCUCACCAGCAAGCGCAUUCCCAGGUGGUCAGGCUCAGGAUGGACCAUGAGCUUUCAAAAAGGAAAAAGGUGGAAAUCCUCAACUAUGCUGCCAUCUGAAUAAGUGUUUCUUUGUAGAUGCACAGAGUCAAGGAAAAUUACAUCCCUGCAUUAUGUAAUGUACCAACAACGCACUUACCCACUGUUUUAAUCUAGGUUAUUCUUGAAAGCAGAGCCUGAGACAAAGCUUUUUCUGGAGGAAAUUCGCAUUUGAAUUGAUGGACUGAAUAAAGCAGAUUGCAGUCCCCAGUGUGGAUGGGCUUGAUCCAGUCUUCUAAGGACCCAAAUAAAAUAGGUGGAGGAAGCUUGAAUUUUCUGCCUGACUGUGGCGCUGGGACACCCAUCUUCUCCUGCCCUUGAACUGGGACUGACACCAUCAGUGCUCCUGGUUCUCAGACCUUCGGACAGCAGACUUGGGGCCUUCUCGGCCUCCAUUAUUGUGUAAGCCAAUUCCUUAUAAUAAAUAAGGGUUUAUUUAUUGAUAAAUCCUUA
rnacentral:lncRNA from 1 species